rnacentral:rRNA from 1 species
CCUGACUGCUAUCGGAUUGAUACUAAGCCAUGCGAGUCAUUGUAGCAAUACAAGGCAUACGGCUCAGUAACGCGUAGUCAACCUAACCUAUGGACGGGAAUAGCCUCGGGAAACUGAGAAUAAUGCUCGAUAGAACACUAUACCUGGAAUGGUUUGUGUUCCAAAUGAUUUAUCGCCAUAGGAUGGGACUGCGGCCUAUCAGUUUGUUGGUGAGGUAAUGGCCCACCAAGACUAUUACAGGUACGGGCUCUGAGAGGAGUAGCCCGGAGAUGGGUACUGAGACACGGACCCAGGCCCUAUGGGGCGCAGCAGGCGAGAAAACUUUGCAAUGUGCGAAAGCACGACAAGGUUAAUCCGAGUGAUUUGUGCUAAACGAAUCUUUUGUUAGUCCUAGAAACACUGACGAAUAAGGGGUGGGCAAGUUCUGGUGUCAGCCGCCGCGGUAAAACCAGCACCUCAAGUGGUCAGGAUGAUUAUUGGGCCUAAAGCAUCCGUAGCCGGCUCUGUAAGUUUUCGGUUAAAUCUGUACGCUUAACGUACAGGCUGCCGGGAAUACUGCAGAGCUAGGGAGUGGGAGAGGUAGACGGUACUCGGUAGGAAGUGGUAAAAUGCUUUGAUCUAUCGAUGACCACCUGUGGCGAAGGCGGUCUACCAGAACACGUCCGACGGUGAGGGAUGAAAGCUGGGGGAGCAAACCGGAUUAGAUACCCGGGUAGUCCCAGCUGUAAACUAUGCAAACUCAGUGAUGCAUUGGCUUGUGGCCAAUGCAGUGCUGCAGGGAAGCCGUUAAGUUUGCCGCCUGGGAAGUACGUACGCAAGUAUGAAACUUAAAGGAAUUGGCGGGGGAGCACCACAAGGGGUGAAGCCUGCGGUUCAAUUGGAGUCAACGCCGGA